AAAAGAGGUUACUUAUGGGCAAAUGGUGGAUGCCUUGGGAGCAGGAGGCGAUGAAGGACGUGGCGUGGCUGCGAUAAGCUUCGGCGAGGUGCUUAGCAACCUAUGACCCGGAGAUCUCCGAAUGUGGAAACACUUUGCGGCAAACCCGCAAAACCCAACCCGCAAGGGAUGGGGGCGAACCCAGCGAAGUGAAACAUCUUAGUAGCUGGAGGAAAAGAAAAAAAAUAAAAAUAUUCCCCAAGUAGCGGCGAGCGAAAAGGGAUGGGCCUAAACCAAUGAAUAGUAACUUAGGUCAGACCUCCUAAAAAACUUAGGAGCCCAGUUUGGGGGAGGUCUGACCUAAGUUACUAUUCAUUGGGGUUGUAGGAUGAUAAUAGGGAUUUAUCCCGGGAAGUCAAAAAAAUUGCUUUGGUUAGCUGAAUGCCCCUGGAAAGGGCGGGCAGAGAAGGUGAUACCCCUGUAAGCGAAAACCAGCAAAACUUCCUGAUUAUUAUUCCUGAGUACCUUAGGGAAAGAAAGCCCUGAGGGAAUCUAGCUGGACUGUCAGCUAAGGCUAAAUACUACCUGCUCACCGAUAGUGAACUAGUACCGUGAGGGAAAGGUGAAAAGUAGCCCGGUGAGGGCGUUGAAAUAGUACCUGAAACCAUUUUGCCUUCAAAGAGUGGGAGCUGCCGCAGCUCACUGUGUUUGCUGCGGAAUGAUCAAUUUUCAAUGAUCAAUUUUCAAUCAAUUUUCAAUUAUUUAAUUUUUUAAUUUUAAAAUUGGGAUUUGUUUGAAAAUUGAAAAUUCGUAAAUUGAAAAUUUCGCCAAAGCGAGCAUAGCGAGCUGUGGCGGUGACCGCGUGCUUUUUGUAGAACGAGCCAACGAGUCUUCCUACUUUCUUCGUCUAAGCGGUUCUGCCGCUAAGGCAUAGUGAAAGCAAGCGUUAAUAGCGCGACCUUAAAAGAAAGUGGGCGGGACCCGAAGCCAGGCGAGCUUGCCAUGACCAGGAUGAACGUCUCCGAAAGGCGACAGGAGGUCCGAACCAAUAAGCUGUGCAAUGCUUUUGGAUGAGUUGUGGUAAGGAGUGAAAAGCUAAUCGAGCCUGGGAAUAGCUGGUUCUCCCCGAAAUAGCUUUAGGGCUAGCCCAAGUAAAUAAUUUUAUGGGGGUAGAGCACUGAAUGGUUUGUCAUUGGGUUUUCCCAGAUAAGCCAAUCAAACUCCGAAUACCGUAAAAUGUUCCUUGGAGUCAGAACGCGGGAGCUAAGUUCCGUGCUCAAAAGGGAAACAGCCCAGACCGUCGUCUAAGGCCCCUAAAUUUAAACUAAGUGUUAUAAGGAAGUGGGUUUUCUAUAAUAGUUAGAAAGUUCGCUCAGAGGCAGCUAUCUUUUAAAAAGUGCGUAAUAGCUUACUAUCUGAGAAGACCCGCGCCAAAGUAUGCAGGGGGCUCAAGUUUAAUGCCGAAGACACGGAUUCUUGUGUUUUACACAAGAGUGGUAGGGGAGCGUUCUUUGUUCACUGAAGCUAAUUCGCGAGAAUUUGUGGAGAACAAAGAAGUGAGAAUGUUGGCAUGAGUAACCGCAAUCGCGAUGAAAUUCCGCGACACCGAAAGCCCGAGGUUUCCUUGGCAAUGGUAAUCAGCCAAGGGUUAGGCGGCCCUAAGCUAACUGCCGAAGGGUAUUUAGCGAUGGACAGGUGGUUAAUAUUCCACCCCCUCGAUAUUUUUUCAAUGAAGUGCGAAGUGUAGUAAACAAGGCGAGUUAUUGGAUUCUCGUUUGCAGCUUUAGGAGACAAGAGCUGUGAGGAACUAGGGUAAUACCUAGGAACUUUGUCGAGCACGCUUCCCAGAAAAGCUUCAAAGAGCUAAGAAUAUUGAGCCCGUACCGCAAACCGACACAGGUGGGCAAGCGCAAGUAUGCUAAGGUGAACGAGUGAAACUUCGUUAAGGAACUAGGCAAAAAAGCAGGCGUAAGUUUUCGAUAUGCCUUGCCUUGCGCUUCGCACAAGGAAAUCCUAAAUCCGAAAUUCUAAACAAAGAAAAAAAAUUCUAAAUCCUAAAUCCGAAAUUCUAAACAAAUUACAAAUAUUAAAUUACAAAUUCUAAAUAAAAACGCAAAAACCCCGCAAGGGAAGUUUGUAAUUUAGAAUUUAGAGUUUGUUUAGGAUUUAGAUAUUAGAAUUUAGAGUUUGUUUAGGAUUUAGAUAUUAGAAUUUAGAAUUUUCUCGUGCGGAGCGCGAGGUCGCAGCGACUGACCCCAGGCGACUGUUUACCAAAAACACAGGUCCCUGCUAACUCUUAAAGAGGAUGUAUAGGGGCUGAAACCUGACCAGUGCCCGUGUGUCAAAACUGGGGGUGCUUGCCGCAAGGUAAGUGCUCACUGGACUAAGCCACGGGUGAACAUCCGCGGUAAUAAAAGAGUUGCCGCUUGGCUAAAGCAAUUUAGCCAAAAAAACUUGACUAUAUGCUGGAAACUCUGGCGUACUUUAGGAGAAAUCCGACAAGUGUAUCCGUAAGGGCGGAUGCCAGACAAUCAGCAGGAAAGGUCGCGAAUCGAAUUUUGGAACGUCUUGAGUGGCUGUUAACUUCGUGUCCACGAAAUCCCGACUCUAGAUAGUAUUCUUUCUACUCGAUAUACCGAGAAAGAGGAAUGCUGUCAAAAAAAGAGGGCGGGUAGUACCCACAUAAAGUAUAGAUAAUGUGGGAUAGUGGAAAGCUCUAACAGUCACUCAUAAUAGCGAUAAUGAAUUUGUUAUCGCUCCAAGGUUCGAUUCGCGAAAUCCUCAGAGACUACACGUCAAGCCCCGCCCAAAGCUAAGGCAUUGUGGCGGGUGAAGAUAUAGUCCAUACUUCAAGCGAUUGAAGAAUAAGGUCAAAAUGAACUCUGACCGUGUUAAAGUAGGAAACAACUGCUUUAGUAAAAUUCGGCUAUAUGCUGGAACAUCUGGUGCAUCUGGCAAUACUCUGGUAUAAUUAAGGAAUAAUACUCCUUUAUCAUUAUGCCAAGUAAAAAAUUGUCCAGUGCAGACAAUCAGCAGGAAAGAUUCAAUUUUGCCAACUGGAUUGUUGGCUUCGUUGAUGGAGAAGGCUGCUUUACAGUAAGCUUUUUCUCGCAUCCAAAAUCUCGCUUAAGACUAAAAUGGCAAGUAUUCCCUGAGUUUGUAAUUACUCAAGGAAUAAAAAGUCAAGCUACUUUAGAAAAAAUAAAAGAUUUUUUGGGUUGUGGAAAAAUAUAUCUUAACAAAAGAAGAGAUAAUCAUCACGAACAUCUAGUAAAAUUUGUCGUAAGAGAUCGUAACGAUUUACUUACAAAAAUUUUACCAUUUUUUGAAGAAAACCAAUUAAGAACAGCUAAAAUAAAUGACUUUGCUAUUUUUGCAAAAAUUAUUAAAAUGAUGCAAAAAGGCAAUCAUCUCCAAGAAAAAGGAUUAGCUAAGAUUCGCUUAUUGGUCCAAAAAAUGAAUAACAGAAAAUUUAGAUGAUUAAUAAAUUGAAAAUCCUCAGAGGCCAUACGCCGAAAACGUAUUUUGUUUUUUUAAGCAAAACAUUAAGAUAUGGUCCGAACUCUGUGGCGACAUAGAGAGUUUGCUUUAAUGAUAAAGCAAGAAUAACAUUAUUGAGCGUAAUCCCUUGCCGCGUAAGUUGCGGCCCGCAUGAAAGGUCCAACGAUCUGGGGACUGUCUCAACGAAGUGCUCGGUGAAAAUGUAGUGCCCGUGAAGAUACGGGACACCUACGGCUAGACGGAAAGACCCCGGGAGCUUUACUAUAAGCUCUUAUUGGCUUGCCAGUUUUUAUGCGUAGCGUAGCGGGUAGGCUUUGAAACCCCAUUCUCGGAUGAGGUGGAGCCAACAAUGAAACACCCGUCUUAAAAAUUGUCAAAUCUAAUCCCCCACCACUUUUUUUGAUGUCCAAAGUUAGUUAAAGCUGUAAAGCCAAAAACGAAUUUGCCAUUUUACAGAGAACUUACAGAGAAUGUCAACAAAAGUGGUGGGGGAGACCGUGAGAGCUUGGUAGUUUUAGUGGGGCGCUAGCCUCCAAAAAAGUAACGGAGGCGUUUAAAGGUCGGCUAAGUGUGAAUGGAAACCACACCGAUAGGGCAAAGCCAAAAGCCGGCUUUACUGCGAGAGGGACAUCUCGAGCAGUUGCGAAAGCAGAACUUAGUGAACCGACCUUAAUCUAUAGGAUUGAGGAAGAUAAUCGGCUAAAAGUUACCCCGGGGAUAGACCCUGAAAUAAGGGUCUGUUGUCCAACUCCGUCGUAAGGCGGAGAAUACCAAAAGAAAAACCUACUUCUUUUGGUUGGUACGGCUUAUAACGGUGAACCAAAGGUUGGUCUUCCUCUUUGAGGUUUUAGACCUUUAGGAACACCGUGGGAAGUUAAGAAGGCAUAAAAAACAAUGACAAACUUAACCACAAAACAAAAAUUUGUUUUGUACAGCGCUAUUUUGGGCGAUGGUUAUUUACAAAAAACCGGUUCCAAAAACGCGCGAUUAAGAUUAGAGCAUGGUGCUAAACAAAAAGAUUAUCUAUUUUGGAAGAUAGAAAUGCUCCAUCCGUUUUUUCAGGGUAAACCUAAAAAAGUGGAAAGAAUUCAUCCUAUUACCAAAAAUACUUAUUUUUAUUGGUGCCACCAGUCCCAGACAAAUGCGUAUUUGGGGAAAUUGAGAAAUGUUUUUUAUCCUCAAGGAAAGAAAAUGAUACCACAAUCAAUAGAAAAAUAUCUAAACUCGUCUUCAUUGGCAGUUUGGUAUAUGGACGAUGGAUAUUAUUAUGGAAGAGAUAAAUGUGGCUAUCUUUAUCUUGGCAAUGUUUCGCAAGAGGAGGCAGAAACAUUACAAAACGCAUUGAAAAAUAAAUUUCAGCUUUGCGUUCAUUGGCUAAAAAAGAAAAAGGGCUAUGCAAUUUAUUUUCCGCCGACAGAAAUGCGGAAAUUAAAAGCAUUGCUAAAAGGUUCUUACUUAGAUCAAUUUAAUUAUAAAUUUCCUUCUUAACCCCGUAACGACUGAGGCUUUUAAGCCAAGAUAGCGGUAAAUAACCCGCUAUCAAAUGCCGUCUCCGCCCAAAGCUAAAGCAUUGUGGCGGAUGAAGAUAUAGUCUAUGUAAAAAUUACAUGAACAGGCUAGUAGAGCCCGAGCGUCCAUAGCGACGGCUCUGUUCGGCACCUCGAUGUCGGCUCACCACAUCCUGGAGGUGGAGAAGCUUCCAAGGGUUUGGCUGUUCGCCAAUUAAAGUGGUACGUGAGCUGGGUUCAGUACGUAAUUUACGUUGCGUAAUACUACAGUAAUGUGGUAUAAUAGCACUGACUAAAAUCGGAGAAACCCUUAAAGAGAACCCGUACAUUCUCAAGGGCAAUUCCGAGGGUAAUUCAAGAUCAAUUAUGCAAGAUACAAAGUUAAGUUAUAUCGCCGGCUUCCUAGACGGAGAUGGCUGUAUAAUGCUCCAACUAAUUCGUAGAAAAGAUUACAAGUUAGGAUAUGAAAUUAGGGCAAGCGUGGUUUUUUACCAAAAAUAAAAAAAUAAAUAUUUUUUAGCUUGGUUAAAAAACAAACUUAAGACAGGGUACCUAAGAGAUCGAAAUGACGGAAUGUCAGAAUAUACGAUAGUGGGGGUAAAACCCGUUCAACAGAUUUUGCAAAAAAUCGCACCUUUUUUAAUUUUGAAAAAAGAGCAUUGCAAAGUAGUUUUGAGGGUUUUAAAAAAAAUGCCUCAAGGGAGUAGAGGAAUGGAGGCAAAGAAACUAUUACGAUUAGCUAAAGAAGUGGAUAAAUUCUUUUUUUUGAAUUAUUCAAAAAAAAGAACUAAUACUUCUCAAAAGUUAGAAGAGUAUCUAAAAUUGCAUAAAAUCUUGAGCCCGUAGAGACUUUAUACUUAAAAAUAUAGGAUAAACGGACGAAAACGUUUAUAAUACGUCAGCCCCGCCUUAUGCGGGUGAAGAUAUAGUCCAUGCUUAUCUAAAGAUAAGAAUAACAUGCGCGAGACAGUACGGACCCUAUCUACCGUAGGCGACGAGUCUUGAGGGAAUUCCGAGGCAGUACGAGAGGACCCUUCGGAGUCAACCUCUGGUGUACCAGUUGUCACGCCCGUGGCAUUGCUGGGUAGCUAAGUUGGUUAAGGAUAAGCGCUGAAAGCAUAUAAGCGCGAAGCCCAUCCCAAGAUUAGGACUCAUUUGAGAUUGGUCAAAGACUAUGACCUUGAUAGGCCCUAAGUGUAAGCUUGGUAACAAGCUCAGCUGAGGGGUACUAAUAAAUCGAAAUCUCUUUUUG
rfam:Parcubacteria group bacterium CG1_02_37_13 cg1_0.2_scaffold_230_c, whole genome shotgun sequence.